GCCUCCUGGCCAAACAUAGGAGGUCCAGCCUGCCCAGUGAUAACAUUCAACGGCCGCGGUAUACUAACCGUGCGAAGGUAGCAUAAUCACUUGUUCUUUAAAUAAGGACUUGUAUCAACGGCAUCACGAGGACUAUACUGUCUCCCCUCUCCAAUCAGUGAAACUGAUCUCCCCGUGAAGAAGCGGGGAUUAAUAUAUAAGACGAGAAGACCCCAUGGAGCUUUAAACCCAAUAUACACCCCUUCGCUCAAGCACCAAUUUAACCUCAAGAGCCUGUAUAUCGGUUUUAGGCUGGGGGGGCCACGGAGUAAAAUUAAACCUCCACAACAAAUGGGCUAAUUACCCUUAUCCACGACUUACAAAUCUAAGAAUCAUCAAAAUGAUGUUUAAUGACCCGAUAAUUCGAUCAUUGAACCAAGUUACCCUGGGGAUAACAGCGCAAUCCGCUUCAAGAGCCCAUAUCGACAAGCGGGUUUACGACCUCGAUGUUGGAUCAGGGUACCCCAGUGGUGCAACCGCUACUAACGGUUCGUU
rnacentral:rRNA from 1 species